UCAUAAGAGGUCCAGCCUGCCCAGUGACAUAGUUCAACGGCCGCGGUACCCUGACCGUGCGAAGGUAGCAUAAUCACUUGCUCUUUAAAUGGGGGCUAGAAUCAACGGCAUCACGAGGGUUAAACUGUCUCCUUAAUCUAAUCAAUGAACCUGAUCUCUUCGUGAAGAAGCGAAGAUAAUAAUAUAAGACGAGAAGACCCCAUGGAGCUUUAAACUAGAUACACACCUAAGUAGACACCUAAACCCCCUAGCCCUUUAGAGAUGCGUAUCUGUUUUAGGUUGGGGCGACCGCGGAGAAAAACUCAACCUCCACGACGAACGGACUAAAAUCCUAAUCCAAGAACUACCUUUCUAAGAAUCAACAAAUUGAUGUAAAUUGACCCGAAAACUUCGAUCAACGGACCAAGUUACCCUGGGGAUAACAGCGCAAUCUACUUCGAGAGCCCAUAUCGACAAGUAGGUUUACGACCUCGAUGUUGGAUCAGGGUAUCCCAGUGGUGCAACCGCUACUAAAGGUUCGUUUGUUCA
rnacentral:rRNA from 1 species